rnacentral:rRNA from 1 species
UACGAAGGGGGCUAGCGUUGCUCGGAAUCACUGGGCGUAAAGCGCACGUAGGCGGAUUGCUAAGUCAGGGGUGAAAUCCCGGGGCUCAACCUCGGAACUGCCUUUGAUACUGGGGAUCUCGAGUCCGGGAGAGGUGAGUGGAACUGCGAGUGUAGAGGUGAAAUUCGUAGAUAUUCGCAAGAACACCAGUGGCGAAGGCGGCUCACUGGCCCGAUACUGACGCUGAGGCACGAAAGCGUGGGGAGCAAACAGG